AGAAAAGAAAAUUAAAGUCUUUCCUCCUGGACUGUAGAAUAAUGGACAACAUUUCUACCAGUAGUGUCUGACAAAGAUUGUCACGUUCAGUCAUCAGUGUCAUCUGCCAAGUCUCUGUGACUGAGAACUUGCCUAACAUCUCCUAAGCACUUUCCCUCAGUAAGUUUGUGAAAGGAAGCCAGCAGGAUCAGGAAGCCACCGGAAAGAAGAAAGCCAUUACUUUAUCUCCCGGAGGACAGCAAAGGACCAGUGUUACCCUGAAACAGGCUAGAAAUGGAAGAACAAAAUAAGUAUCUACAAAAUCCUACCCUGAAAUUCAGAUAAUGGACUCAUAGAAGGGCUUGGGUUGGAAGAGAGCAGGUUUCCCAGAGCUCCAUCCAACUUGGCAGGUCUCCUCCAGACACCUGAGCAGACCUGGCAUACGGACACCUAUGAGCAGAAGAGCACAGCUCCACUCACGGAGCCCUCACCAGCACCCUUCUCAGACACAGACACUCAAGGGAAGCACAGAAGGGCAUGAGUACAUUCUAUCACAUGAUUGGUCCCAUAAAUUGGUGGUAUUUAAAGUUAACCAUAUUUUGAAGUGUUUUGCUGGAUCAAACAUUAAGCCAAGGAUUUCUCAGUUCAAACAUCUAAGCUAAUAUCCUCUACCUCAGUGUCUUAGGAAAUGAGAAACUAUUUCUCUGCAAGAAAAUGAUAAACCACGCAAAGUCAAAUUAAAGUGCAGACAAGAGAUUGCAAAAAUGUAAUCCACAGAAGAAUGUGAAUUUUAAAAAGUGAAGUUAAGACAAAUUUUGAACUGAUCCAUGAAGAGAGACACCACUCAUUUUUUUUCUAAAGCAUUAAAUGCAAAAUUCACUGCUAUUUUCUAGAACGAUUGUAAAAUUUAGAGUGAAAUACUACUUUUGCUAGUUUAAUCUUUAACAAAUAGAAGUCCUCUGCAACUGCAAGUAAGUAAAUGAAUGAAUGAAUGAAUGAAUAAAUAAAUAAAUAAAUAAAUAAAUAAAUAAAGCAACAGGAACAGCUAACUGAACAAGCCGAAGUCAUUCCACUCUAUAUCUUACUGACAUUUUUACUAAAUGUAAAUGUUUUAGGAGCCAACUCAUUUGACAAAGUGACACAAUUGCAAAUUUUGUAAAUGAGGCAAAUCAGUUUGGAAGGAAAUACUGUUCAUAUCUUGUUUCCAGAAGAAAAAUAUCUAGUGUAUAUUUGACAUGCAAUUGCUGCCAGCAACUCACAUUUAAUGAAAUAUUACUGCAUCAUAUAUCAAGAAAAUUAUGCACAAAAGCUUUAAAAAUUGAUAAUGUGCAAAUUGUCAUCAAAGCUGUGAAUUUUGUUAAGUCCAAGGAACUGAAUCAUCAACAAUUUUAGGAGCUCUUUAAUAUGGAUGCUGAUUAAGGGGACAUCAUUUACUUUUCUAAAAUAAGGUGUCUCAAAGGGAAAAAUACUGUAACGAUUUUAUGAUUUGCAAAAUGAAAUCAAGUCAUUUUGUGGAAUCAAAAAUUUUAGCCAUAAGUUGAAGAUGAAGAAUGGCUCAUAGAUUUACCAUUUUUAGAGGAUUUGAUUCCUCAUUCAAAUGAGUUAAAUGUGAGUCUUCAGAGUGAAAAUCAACUUAUUAGUUCUAUGUUUCAAAUCAUAACAGUUUUUGAAUUGAAACUUAAAUUACUCCAAGGUCAAGUCAUGACAAGUAAUUUUAUGCAUUUUGAUACAUUGGCUAAACACAUCCUUGUAAAAAGAAAAAGCUGUACAACCUUAUUUUCCAUUUUGAUAAGGAAUUUGAAAGUAGGUUUCAAUAAUACUAAAAAAUCAUCUUUUUUUAUAUAUAUAUUUAAGAUUCAAUUUUUCAGACAACAUAAAUACAACACCUGCAAGUUUUCAAAUGGAAUGUACAGAGUUGUAGUCAGGUAUUCAACUCAAAUAAAAAAACUGAUCAUGUUUCU
ensembl:lncRNA